GCUGAUGUAGCUCAGUGGCAGAGCACUUCAUUGGUAAUGAAGAGGUCAGGGGUCCAAUUCCCCCCAUCAGCU
rfam:Eubacterium sp. CAG:86 genomic scaffold, scf106